GAUGAACGCUGGCGGCGUGCCUAACACAUGCAAGUCGAGCGAGUUGAUUUCCUUCGGGAAUGAAGCUAGCGGCGGACGGGUGAGUAACACGUGGGCAACCUGCCUCAUAGAGGGGAAUAGCCUCCCGAAAGGGAGAUUAAUACCGCAUAAGAUUGUAGCUUCGCAUGAAGUAGCAAUUAAAGGAGCAAUCCGCUAUGAGAUGGGCCCGCGGCGCAUUAGCUAGUUGGUGAGGUAACGGCUCACCAAGGCGACGAUGCGUAGCCGACCUGAGAGGGUGAUCGGCCACAUUGGGACUGAGACACGGCCCAGACUCCUACGGGAGGCAGCAGUGGGGAAUAUUGCACAAUGGGGGAAACCCUGAUGCAGCAACGCCGCGUGAGUGAUGACGGCCUUCGGGUUGUAAAGCUCUGUCUUCAGGGACGAUAAUGACGGUACCUGAGGAGGAAGCCACGGCUAACUACGUGCCAGCCGCCGCCGUAA
rnacentral:rRNA from 1 species